rnacentral:rRNA from 1 species
CCUACGGAGGCAGCAGUGGGGAAUAUUGGACAAUGGGGGCAACCCUGAUCCAGCCAUGCCGCGUGUGUGAAGAAGGCCCUCGGGUUGUAAAGCACUUUCAGUGAGGAAGAACGCCUGGUGGUUAAUACCCAUCAGGAAAGACAUCACUCACAGAAGAAGCACCGGCUAACUCCGUGCCAGCAGCCGCGGUAAUACGGAGGGUGCGAGCGUUAAUCGGAAUUACUGGGCGUAAAGCGCGCGUAGGUGGCUUGAUAAGCCGGUUGUGAAAGCCCCGGGCUCAACCUGGGAACGGCAUCCGGAACUGUCAAGCUAGAGUGCAGGAGAGGAAGGUAGAAUUCCCGGUGUAGCGGUGAAAUGCGUAGAGAUCGGGAGGAAUACCAGUGGCGAAGGCGGCCUUCUGGACUGACACUGACACUGAGGUGCGAAAGCGUGGGUAGCAAACAGGAUUAGAUACCCUGGUAGUC